GGGAUCCAUCCAGUAGCAAUACUGGUGAAGAUCUAGCGGCGAACGGGUGAGUAACACGGUGAGAAACCUGCCCCGGACUCUGGGAUAACACGAGGAAACUCGUGCUAAUACCGGAUACCUUCUUUUGGUCGCAUGGCCAGCUGAAGAAAGAUUUAUCGGUUUGGGAGGGUCUCGCGGCCUAUCAGCUAGUUGGCGGGGUAACGGCCCACCAAGGCAUCGACGGGUAGCUGGUCUGAGAGGACGAUCAGCCACACUGGGACUGAGACACGGCCCAGACUCCUACGGGAGGCAGCAGUGGGGAAUCUUGCGCAAUGGGCGAAAGCCUGACGCAGCAACGCCGCGUGCGGGAUGAAGGCCUUCGGGUUGUAAACCGCUUUCAGCAGGGAAGAAAUUGACGGUACCUGCAGAAGAAGCCCCGGCCAACUACGUGCCAGCAGCCGCGGUAACACGUAGGGGGCGAGCGUUGUCCGGAUUUAUUGGGCGUAAAGAGCUCGUAGGCGGUUCGGUAAGUCGGGUGUGAAACCUCCAGGCUCAACCUGGAGACGCCACCUGAUACUGCUGUGACUAGAGUCCGGUAGGGGAGUGUGGAACUCCUGGUGUAGCGGUGAAAUGCGC
rnacentral:rRNA from 1 species